ACCCUCUCAGGGUCACACCUGGGGAGUUUCCAGUACUCUACCAGUCUUGACUAUGGGAGGGAUAGUCAAGCAGAGGCAUUCUAUUCCUAGCUUGGUCAGUGGCUAGCGAGUGGAAGGCAAUCUGCUAGACUU